rnacentral:rRNA from 1 species
AAGUUGGAUUCGCUAGUAAUCGCGCAUCAGCCAUGGCGCGGUGAAUACGUUCCCGGGCCUUGUACACACCGCCCGUCAAGCCAUGGAAGCCGGGAGUGCCUGAAGUGCGUGAGCGCAAGCAGCGCCCUAAGGUAAAACCGGUGACUGGGGCUAAGUCGUAACAAGGUACC